rnacentral:rRNA from 1 species
GACGAACGCUGGCGGCGUGCUUAACACAUGCAAGUCGAACGGACAGGCCCUGCUUUUGUGGGGUGCUCGAGUGGCGCACGGGUGAGUAACACGUGAGUAACCUGCCCUUGACUUUGGGAUAACUUCAGGAAACUGGGGCUAAUACCGGAUAGGAGCUCCUGCUGCAUGGUGGGGGUUGGAAAGUUUCGGCGGUUGGGGCUGGACUCGCGGCUUAUCAGCUUGUUGGUGGGGUAGUGGCUUACCCAGGCUUUGACGGGUAGCCGGCCUGAGAGGGUGACCGGCCACAUUGGGACUGAGAUACGGCCCAGACUCCUACGGGAGGCAGCAGUGGGGAAUAUUGCACAAUGAGCGGAAGCCUGAUGCAGCAACGCUGCGUGCGGGAUGACGGCCUUCGGGUUGUAAACCGCUUUCGCCUGUGACGAAGCGUGAGUGACGGUAAUGGGUAAAGAAGCACCGGCUAACUACGUG